rnacentral:rRNA from 1 species
UCCGGCGAACCCCUGGGUUUGUCGGUAAAGGUGGCCUCUUCAUGAAAGCUACCGGGUGGAGAUGAGUCCGCGUCCCAUUAGCUUGUUGGUAGGGUAAUGGCCUACCAAGGCGACGAUGGGUAGCUGGUCUGAGAGGACGAUCAGCCACACUGGAACUGGAACACGGUCCAGACUCCUACGGGAGGCAGCAGUGAGGAAUAUUGCGCAAUGGGGGAAACCCUGACGCAGCGAUGCCGCGUGGGUGAAGAAGGCCUUCGGGUCGUAAAGCCCUGUCAAGCGGGAAGAAUAGCGUGGAGAUGAAUAAUCUCUGCGUAUGACGGUACCGCUGAAGGAAGCACCGGCUAACUCCGUGCCAGCAGCCGCGGUAA